GAUGAACGCUGGCGGCGUGCCUAAUACAUGCAAGUCGAGCGAACAGACGAGGAGCUUGCUCCUCUGACGUUAGCGGCGGACGGGUGAGUAAAACGUGGAUAACCUACCUAUAAGACUGGGAUAACUUCGGGAAACCGGAGCUAAUACCGGAUAAUAUAUUGAACCGCAUGGUUCAAUAGUGAAAGACGGUUUUGCUGUCACUUAUAGAUGGAUCCGCGCAGCAUUAGCUAGUUGGUAAGGUAACGGCUUACCAAGGCAACGAUGCGUAGCCGACCUGAGAGGGUGAUCGGCCACACUGGAACUGAGACACGGUCCAGACUCCUACGGGAGGCAGCAGUAGGGAAUCUUCCGCAAUGGGCGAAAGCCUGACGGAGCAACGCCGCGUGAGUGAUGAAGGUCUUCGGAUCGUAAAACUCUGUUAUUAGGGAAGAACAAAUGUGUAAGUAACUAUGCACGUCUUGACGGUACCUAAUCAGAAAGCCACGGCUAACUACGUG
rnacentral:rRNA from 1 species